rnacentral:rRNA from 1 species
UACGAAGGGGGCUAGCGUUGCUCGGAAUCACUGGGCGUAAAGCGCACGUAGGCGGCUUGUUAAGUCAGGGGUGAAAUCCUGGAGCUCAACUCCAGAACUGCCUUUGAUACUGGCGAGCUUGAGUUCGGGAGAGGUGAGUGGAACUGCGAGUGUAGAGGUGAAAAUUCGUAGAUAUUCGCAAGAACACCAGUGGCGAAGGCGGCUCACUGGCCCGGUACUGACGCUGAGGUGCGAAAGCGUGGGGAGCAAACA